rnacentral:rRNA from 1 species
GAUGAACGCUAGCGGCAGGCUUAACACAUGCAAGUCGAGGGGCAUCGGGGGUAGCAAUACCUGCCGGCGACCGGCGCACGGGUGAGUAACGCGUAUGCAACCUACCCAUAACAGGGGGAUAACCCGGAGAAAUUCGGACUAAUACCCCAUAGAUCCUUUUAUUAGCAUUAUUAAAAGGAUAAAGGAGCAAUCUGGUUAUGGAUGGGCAUGCGUAUCAUUAGAUAGUUGGUGAGGUAACGGCUCACCAAGUCGACGAUGAUUAGGGGCUCUGAGAGGAUGACCCCCCGCACUGGGACUGAGACACGGCCCAGACUCCUACGGGAGGCAGCAGUGGGGAAUAUUGGUCAAUGGCCGCAAGGCUGAACCAGCCAUGCCGCGUGCAGGACAACGGCCCUACGGGUCUUAAACUGCUUUUGAGAGGGAACAAUAAGGACUACGUGUAGUUCGACGAGCGUACCUUUCGAACAAGCAUCGGCUAACUCCGUGCCAGCAGCCGCCGUAAGAC